rnacentral:tRNA from 3 species
GCCGAUGUAGCUUAGUAGGUUAUAGCACGUGAUUUGUAAUCUCGGGGCCGUGGGUUCGAAUCCCUCCAUCGGCA